rnacentral:rRNA from 1 species
UUUGUCUCAUAGCAAUAAUUUGAAUUUUAUUUUUUAGUUAAAAAGCUAAAAUUUAUCUUAAAGACAAGAAGACCCUAUUAAGCUUUACAAUUUUAUACUAUUUUCAAACUAAUAAAAAAAUUGUUAUGCUGGGGCAGCAGAUAAAUAAAUAUUAUUUCCACAUUGUGAUUAAUAAAUCUAGAAAAAUCAAUAACUUUUUAAAUAAUAGCAAGUUACUAUAGGGAUAACAGCAUAAUUUUUUUAAAGAGUUCUCAUCAACAAAAAAGUUUGUGACCUCGAUGUUGGAUU